GUCUCAGGCCGUAUCAGCCUGAAGGCGCCCGAUCUCGUCUGAUCUCGGAAGGUAAGCAGGGUCGGGCCUGGUUAGUAUCUUGGAUGGGAGACCACCUGGGAAUCCCGGGUGCUCGAGGCU
rnacentral:rRNA from 1 species